AUGGCGGGCUGGCUAGCUUCGCUGCCGGAGGGUACCACAGCCACAGACGUCUCGGCUGCUCCCUGCCCAGCGAGCAACCCCUACCGCGACUCGAUCCGGGGCGUCGCUCUUCCUCGAGGUCAGUACAUCAGAUCGAAUCUGUUCACCCACUCGGGUCAUAGCGGGUCCAGCUUCUCUGGUGCUUCGAGUUAUUACCCGUCCAACGACUCCGGCUCAUCCUCGGGUUGGGCGUCCGCUGCCGCCGCUGCGGACUUGGGCACUCAGGAACUCACGGUGAUCUCUUACCGUAUGGUCACCGACGGAUACACCCAGCGCAUGGUCCAAGCAUUCGAGUACGGUGGUGACCCAGACCGUGCGCUGGAGAUUUGGUUCUUCGAGCUCGACGUUGACUGGGUUCUCCAAAUGCGUGAGCAACAUGUUUUACGGCGGAAGCUCCCGGACAUGUCGGCGUCAUCGCUGCAAGACUUGGUCGGGAGAUGGAUUCGAGCUCUCACCGUAAUAGUCUUCAAUAUCAGAAAUCUGGCCGUCGCUGUUCACAAGAUGCCGCCUAUUGCAGUGGCACAGUUUGGUAAAGCAAGUGUUUCUGCAAUGCUCGUCUUCGUCAACGCUAUCCUGACUGUUCCCAAGACACACAAGCUUCGGGCUGUGGUAGACAUGUUCAUCUGUGUCUCGAGUGUAUCAUACUACAUGUUUACCACACUCGUGAUCUCUCCCGAAGCGAAAAGCAUUUUCAGCGAGAUAGGCGGCUCAUUGGAGGGGGAAGGAAACAGGUUACUCAAGGCCUUAUGCAGCAUGAUGGAGGAGGUCAGAACAUUCAUCGAGGACGACGACUCGUGGGCUGUCGAGAUUCUGCAAGGAAGAGGCGAGGUUCACAGGAACACUCGGUUGAUGGUGGAUUGCAUCAUGUCCAUGAAAAUGACACGCACCUCGGCACGGAGACACAGCAGUGCAAACCUUCGUGGCCUGGUAGAUAACUCCGUUGAUUAUCUGAAGGAUGUGCUCCUGAGAAAAUCUGAGCUAUGCCCGGAUCUAAGCAUGAGGUACCUGUUCUUGCUCAACAAUUCCUAUUUCAUAGUGCAGGUGUCUGAGCCAUCGGGAGACAACCAUGGAAUUAAGCUUACACCUGAAUGUGAGAAGUACAUGGAUAGUUAUCUUGAUGCUUCUUGGGGGCAUGUGCUGCCAUGCAUAUCGAAAUCAAAAUUUCCUGGAUUGCUCUGUUGUUGGAUCAACACCUCUUCGCAUACUAAAUUCGAGUCAGCGUUUUAUCAAACUUACAAUGCUCAGAAGUUCUGGAAGGUCCCGGAUCCUCUGCUCAGAGAUGCGCUGCGGAUAGCGAUCACCAAGAGAGUUAUUUCAGGUUACCACAACUACCUGGAUGAGCAUCCAGAGCUAAAGAAACAGGUUCGCCGCGAAAGUAGCGGUCCUGAUGUUUUGAAGGAGAUGUUGGGACAGAUAUUCGAGGGAUGA
rnacentral:rRNA from 1 species